rnacentral:rRNA from 1 species
AAUACUAGCUGUAACCACCUUGCAGAGUGAUCUCAUCAGAUCUCAGAAACUAAGGGAGGGUGGGUAUGGUUAGUACUGGGAUGGAGAAACUCUAAGGAAAAACAAUGUGCUAUUGUUA